rnacentral:ncRNA from 1 species
UGUCGUGAGGCAGAAUCUGAAGAAAGGCGGCGGCAAAACUCUGGCCUGACGAACAGAAAUCGCAUAUAAGGCCGUUAGCGAGGGCAAGUUUUCCUGAAUAAAAUGAAGCCCAGUAGCUGCACGGAAUCGUUUACGGUAAAUGCGGCAGGUAAAGAGGGAAAGAACG